CUCUAGGCAACCGCCUUUGUCGCCUAUAGGAAGGACUGGCCCUGCCUGGAGGGGUAUAGUCUGGCCUAGGCUAUUUUACAUCCCCAGAUUUAACACUGCACUGACACUUUCAUUAUCUUGGCGUAGGACAACACAAUGGUGAUGCUCAUGAUCGGGAAGUAAAGUUGACCAAUGGCAGACCUGACAUGACCCUGCCACAUGUGAAAAGAUGAACAGCCCCUCAGAGGAAACCCUGUGUUGUUUGUAGAAGCUCAGAGAUGCUGAUGUUGACGGUGAGAGAAUAAAGCAGUGCAAGGAGCUGAGGCCUUGAAUGAGGAAGAGGAAGUGCAUUGGUGAUGAAGAGUAAUAGGUGUGACCAGAAUGUACACAGAUGAAAACAUGUAGAAAUUAUACACAAUCAGAUUUGUGAAUAGCAAAAUCUUGAUGGAGGAAAAGUGCGAUGAAAACCUGAACUAAAAUGAGACUGUAAUUAAUGCCUCACUCCGUCAAAGUUCUUUUUAGCCUUAAAUGUCUUAUUUGUAACCACAUAAAAAUUUACAAGGAUCAAAACAAAAAAACAAUAAACAUCAGAAGUAUAUGACAAACAAUGUAAGUUAAAUAAAUGUGACAAAAAUAUAUCUAUAUAAGAGGUUUCAUUUAACCAAACAAUCCCUGAAGUAACAUGGCAUUCAAAGUUGCCACGACCACAAGGGGACGAUAAAAUUAAUAAAUAAAAAAAUAAAAGUUUAACCACCAGAGUUGUCAUCACCAGUCACUGCCAACAUUGAUUUGCCAUAGUUACAAUGUGAUGUGCUUGAAAGAGACUUUGUGUCCAAAGUAGUUGGGCUUCAAUAUUACAAAGCUCUUGGAAGAUUAGAAGCCUUAUUGAUAAAUAUAUUCUUUGUAUCUUGAGUUGUCUCUGCUUUGCAUUUAAAAUAGUUUUUUACAUUUGGACAAUGCUCAUUGGAUAUUCAUUGUUAUGUGUCAUGUACAAUAAAUGGCCGCUGUUCGGAGGGGAGCCGCCUACUUCCUCAGUUGAGAUGUUUAUCUCAAACAGAUCAAGUUAAAAAAACUGAAUUAAUAAUGUCUCCCAUGUACAUUCUGUCCUUCAACGACUGCUGGAGAACCGGCUCAUUGUGAAGGCUGAGAAGUGCGAGUUUCAUCAAAAAACAGUCACCUUUCUGGGAUUUGCAAAAGGUUGAAACAGUCCUGGAGUGGCCCCCUCCUUCAACCAGCAAGGAGCUUCAAAGCUUCCUCGGAUUUGCGAACUUUUAUCGACGCUUCAUCCGGGAUUACGGUUCACUGGCGGCUCCCCUCACAGCCCUGACUUCAAAGGCUGUUAAGUUCCUCUGGUCCUCUGCUGCGGAGGGAGAGUUUUCAAGCCCUAAAGCAGAGCUUCACCUCAGCCCCCAUCCUGAUCCAACCUGACCCAGUAGACAAUUCAUCGUGGAGGCUGAUGCCUCCACGGUGUUUUUUGCAACUUGGUCUGCGAUUGGGUCCUUAAUCUGAGAAAGCCUAACAGAAAGCCUAACACCUUUUCCCUUUCCCUCAGAUCGGUAACAUAAUCUGGGCUUAAUGAUUAUACUAAACUAAGCAAGACUUUAUUUGAUUCUGUGUGGUGUUUAUAAGUUUGAUAUGUGUUGGGAUAUUGUGUUUAUAAGUUAUUUGAAAGUUAAAUAUUAGUUAUGUUCGUCACAGGAUCUCUCUGACCCUUUCAGUCUUUGAUUAACAUUUACACAGAAACACUCAUGUCUCUACACCUAGUUAUCUCCUCCUCCACUGCAGAAGAAGGGGGGAGGGCUGUCAACUUUAGGGGGGGUUAGCGACCAUUUUGAAAGCAUGCUGAGGAAGAUGUGAACAUUUGGUGAAACACCAUUUUGAGAAACCACCUUAUUUACAUAGACAUCCACACUCACAUACCUAUCUUUGUUAAGCUAGUAAGAUUGUUGGUAAUUUGUGUUUUUAUACUUUAUUAUAUUCAUAAUAAAUGUUUUUCUUUCACAAA